UUCAUUCAUAUUUCCUUUGCAAUCAUUUAGUUGAAUCCUUUGAUUCCAGAUUCCUCUCUGAUCGACACCAGCGUGAUCAUCGGAUCAGCAGUCGGGGGUGAUGGUGGUUCUGGCUGCUGUUGUUAUUUUCAUCAUAUGCAGGAAGAAAACCAAAGAAACAGAAGAUCAGCAGAAUGAAUCAAAUGUUCAGCAGCUGAUGCUCCACAAUGAUGAUCCAGAGAACAAUGUUACUUAUGCUGCUGUUGGUGGUUUCAAUCCAAAUACUUCCACUAAAAUAAAGG